rnacentral:tRNA from 1 species
GUCGGGGUAGCUCAGCCUGGCGGAGCGCUAGACUCAUAAUCUAGAGGUCGCGGGUUCAAACCCCGUCCCCGACA